ensembl:snRNA U1 U1 spliceosomal RNA
AUACUUAUCUGGCAGGGGAGAUACCAUGUUCACGAAGGUGGUUUUCCAAGGGCCAGGUUUAUCCAUUGCACUCUGGAUGUGCUGACCCCAGUGAUUUGCCCCUAUGUGGGAAACUUGACUGCGUAAUUUGUGUAGUGAGGGAUUGCGUUCACACUUUCCCUUG